AUCAGUUUUGAGUGUUCUGUUCCUUUGUUGCCUCCCCAGGGCAUCUGCACCUGGGCCUGGGAUGUUGGUGGAUAUUCAGACCCAUCAGGGGUUUUGGACCCCUACGUGCAGCUGACCCCUGGGCCUCUCCAUCCGAAGCAUCCACACUCUCAUCAGAUACGGCAUGCUUGAGUGUCGAUACCGUCUUCUCAGCUGAGAUGUUGCUUCUUUUUGGAAGAAGGCCAAGCCAUUGACUGACUAAUCAAGCUGCUUCUACGUUCUUAUUCCUGACUCAUACCUCAGCCCAGAGCUGUGUGACUCCUUCCACAUCAUCACUUGAUGGAAAGUGCUCUGGCAAAGGUCACCAGGAACCACCAUACUGCCAAAUUCAGUGGAAGGAGACCCUGGAGCAGGUAUGCCUUCUGCCAUGGAUGACAUGGUGGGGAGGGGGAAGAUGUGAUACAGAAAGAGGGGACCCCUGGAUACUUGAACAGGUGAGAGAUCCAGUCCCUGCUUGUGGGGUGGGGGGCGUGGGUAGCCCUGGGCAGAGCAGUGACCUUCCUCCGUGCAUUGAGCGGGAGGGAGGCAGAGUGGGUGCAGAUAUGGGAGGCUUGCCAAGCAUCCUCAUGGGAGGAUGAGGGAGUGCUUUCUGAUGGGGACCAUGUUCUGAACAAAGCAUGAGGCCAGUGUGGGUGAGGAUGGUGUGGGGUGUGAGGAGAGGAGACAGGAUGAGACACUUGUUUGGGAGAACAGAGAACAUGCACAAGGACAGUUAGACAGUGAGCAUGGCGCUGCCGAGUGGUGACAGGCAGGGCUGUUUUGAGAUUUGAGGUUAGGCAUUUAGGGGAAAGUCAGCUCUCUCUUUCUCCAGCAGUGUUUUGCUGUGUGGGUGCAGGCACCAAGGAGGGUGUGUGGAUUUACCACGUUUGGGCGUGGCUUCUAAGAAUAAAGGGAGAGAGAGGAAAGAAAGUGACAGCAGAGGGCAGUGAUCCUGAGCCAGAGGUGCUCCGUGUCUGGAGGGCUCAGCAAGACUGUGGGAGAGCAGUCUGGAAGGACCUCAGGUGAUGGGUGAUCAUCUGGCAGGAUGCUUGAGGUGGAGAUGGUCUAAACGGUGCCAUUUCCAUGAUGGGAGCUUGGGUUCAGUCCCUGAUUGGGGAACUAAGAUCCCAUUUGCCUUGGGGCAACUGAGCCCAUGAGCUGCCGACUACAGAGCCCAUGCAGUCUGGAGCCCUCCUGCCACAGCUGGAGAGAAGCCCGCACGCCACAGUGAAGAUCCUACGAGCUGCAUCUAAGACUUGACUCAGACAAAAAAUAAAAAAAACAACAACUAAAAUAAAGCAAAUAAA